UAGUGCGCAAGACAUGGGCAACUGGGUGGCUCGCGCGCAUGCAAGGCUCUCAGUAGCUUGGCCACGUGAUAACAUUGCACUUGGCUUGUCGGGCACACCAUGGUCGCACGCCUUAUAUGAGACUUGUGUUUGGAAUAGAAGGGUCAAAACACUAAGUGUUGAAUGAGCGUUUUGCGUUGAAGCUUGCGUGUUGAAGUUUGUGUUAGGAUGACCCGAGUCAAGAAGGCAUCAGGAGUUUAAAGUCUAUUAGGCAUUUUGAUCAAAGUACCAUGCAACAAGAAACCAGGCGAAGAGAUGUCUAAUCUGACUUGACAUGAGUUAUGUGUUAAGCUGAAAGUAAAGUAAAAUUAAGUGAAGUAUUAAGCUUAUGCUCGUAAUGCCUUACGUGGGAUCUGACAAUAUUUUAGAAGCUUUGAGAUGACUAAUCUAGCUUUAAGAUUAGCAUAAAUAAUAGAGGAAGAAGCCAUAAUGUUUUACGAGUUUAAUCUGAGAAUUUGUGAAGUGAAGUGUUACUAUGUGGAUUGCUUCUAGGCGAGAAGAAGAAGAAGAAGUGAGCUAAGCGUUCUGCGAGAAGGGAUAAACCAAGUUUUUGUUUGAGGCAUUAAGGUUGGGGAGAGCAUGUGUUAAAGCUAAGUUGGAAAACGGAUAUAAUUUUGCUAGACAAGGAAGCUUGGCGAGGCGUUUAGCUUAUGUUUAAAGUUAUUUUGAAAAGACUUUAUUUGUAAAGUUUGUUGUAAAAUGCAUGGUUUAAGCUAAUAAAAGUUCAAGUUUAUGUUA